CCUACGGGAGGCAGCAGUGGGGGAUAUUGCACAAUGGGGGAAACUCUGAUGCAGCGACGCCGCGUGUAGGAAGACGGUCCUCUGGAUUGUAAACUACUGUCCCCAGGGACGAAGAUGACGGUACCUGGGGAGGAAGCUCCGGCUAACUACGUGCCAGCAGCCGCGGUAAUACGUAGGGAGCGAGCGUUGUCCGGAAUUACUGGGUGUAAAGGGAGCGUAGGCGGGGAUGCAAGUUGGGUGUUAAAUCUACCGGCUCAACUGGUAGUCGCACUCAAAACUGCAGCUCUUGAGUGAAGUAGAGGCAGGCGGAAUUCCUAGGGUAGCGGUGAAAUGCGUAGAUAUUAGGAGGAACACCAGUGGCGAAGGCGGCCUGCUGGGCUUUUACUGACGCUGAGGCUCGAAAGUGUGGGGAGCAAACAGGAUUAGAUACCCUUGUAGUC
rnacentral:rRNA from 1 species